UAGCUCAAUGGUAGAGUGUUUGCCUUGCAUGCAAAAGGCCCUAGGUUUGAUUUCCAG
rnacentral:tRNA from 1 species